GUUGAACUUCUACAGCUUCUCCUUGAUGUCUACUAGACUAGAUUCCACGGGUUUCCUAUUGUUUAUGAGAGUUCAUGAGUUUUCUUCUUUUACCCUUGUAACACUGCUUUAGGAAGAGGUGGGAACCAAAGCAGAGGAGAGACUGCUCUUACACCAAGGCUCUAAAAUGUAGACCUGUCUGACCCAGUUUGAAACUAGCAUGGGCUCCUUCAGUUUGGAGCUGGAAACUCAGACGUCUCCUGUUAUGUGUUUGCAUGAUGUAUGCACUCUGGACAUUGCUGUACUUUAAAUAAGAAUAAUAACAGGAUGGAAAGGAGGAAAGCAUGGACAUAAAAUCAGAGGUGAGAAAGAAAAGCAAUACUUUGGGUGCAUGCUGGGA
rnacentral:lncRNA from 1 species